rfam:Mycobacterium sp. GA-1999 GCID_NTM_00005_NODE_26.ctg_1, whole genome shotgun sequence.
GUCGGAACAUCGACAUCGAGUGCCGUAUGCCAGUCCGGGUGCGGCGCGAGAGGGAACCCGGUGAGAAUCCGGGACUGUCCCGCAGCGGUAUGCAGGAACGACCGCCGUCACCAGCACUGGCCCCGACGGGCUGGGAAGCGACGGCCACUAGGUGCGCGAUCUCCUCGCGCGGGCCUGCGAGUCCGAAGACCUGCCAGCUGUACCGGACGCGC